CGAUACAGGGUGACAGCCCCGUACACAAAAAUGCACAUAUUGUGAGCUUGAUGAGUAGGGCGGGACACGUGGUAUCCUGUCUGAAUAUGGGGGGACCAUCCUCCAAGGCUAAAUACUCCUGACUGACCGAUAGUGAACCAGUACCGUGAGGGAAAGGCGAAAAGAACCCCGGCGAGGGGAGUGAAAAAGAACCUGAAACCGUGUACGUACAAGCAGUGGGAGCACGCUUAGGCGUGUGACUGCGUACCUUUUGUAUAAUGGGUCAGCGACUUAUAUUCUGUAGCAAGGUUAACCGAAUAGGGGAGCCGAAGGGAAACCGAGUCUUAACUGGGCGUUAAGUUGCAGGGUAUAGACCCGAAACCCGGUGAUCUAGCCAUGGGCAGGUUGAAGGUUGGGUAACACUAACUGGAGGACCGAACCGACUAAUGUUGAAAAAUUAGCGGAUGACUUGUGGCUGGGGGUGAAAGGCCAAUCAAACCGGGAGAUAGCUGGUUCUCCCCGAAAGCUAUUUAGGUAGCGCCUCGUGAAUUCAUCUCCGGGGGUAGAGCACUGUUUCGGCA
rnacentral:rRNA from 1 species